rnacentral:lncRNA from 1 species
UGUAGGGCAGGACCAAAUCGGAAAGAUAAGUAGGAGCAAGCCCAUGUAAUGCUUUGUAGGUUAGCAGUAAAACCUUGAAAUCAGCCCUUGCCUUAACAGGAAGCCAGUGUAGGGAGGCUAGCACUGGAGUAAUAUGAUCAAAUUUUUUGGUUCUAGUCAGGAUUCUAGCAGCCGUAUUUAGCACUAACUGAAGUUUAUUUAGUGCUUCGUCCGGGUAGCCGGAAAGUAGAGCAUUGCAGUAGUCCAGCCUAGAAGUAACAAAAGCAUGGAUAAAUUUUUCUGCGUCAUUUUUGGUCAGAAAAUGUCUGAUUUUUGCAAUGUUACGUAGAUGGAAAAAAGCUGUCCUUAAACAGUCUUGAUAUAUUAGAGUAGAUUGAAUCAGCUGGAGGAGUCCAGACCAGUAUUAGUGUAGGUUGAAUCAGCUGAAGGAGUCCAGGCCAGUAUUAGAGUAGGUUGAAUCAGCUGAAGGAGUCCAGGCCAGUAUUAGAGUAGGUUGAAUCAGCUGAAGGAGUCCAGGCCAGUAUUAGAGUAGGUUGAAUCAGCUGAAGGAGUCCAGGCCAGUAUUAGAGUAGGUUGAAUCAGCUGGAGGAGUCCAGGCCAGUAUUAGAGUAGGUUGAAUCAGCUGAAGGAGUCCAGGCCAGUAUUAGAGUAGGUUGAAUCAGAUGGAGGAGUCCAGGCCAGUAUUAGAGUAGGUUGAAUCAGCUGGAGGAGUCCAGGCCAGUAUUAGAGUAGGUUGAAUCAGAUGGAGGAGUCCAGGCCAGUAUUAGCGUAGGUUGAAUCAGCUGGAGGAGUCCAGGCCAGUAUUAGAGUAGGUUGAAUCAGCUGAUGGAGACCAGGCCAGUAUUAGAGUAGGUUGUAUCAGAAUCAGCUGGAGGAGUCCAGGCCAGUAUUAGUGUAGGUUGAAUCAGCUGGAGGAGUCCAGGCCAGUAUUAGUGUAGGUUGAAUCAGCUGAAGGAGUCCAGGCCAGUAUUAGAGUAGGUUGAAUCAGCUGAUGCAGUCUAGGCCAGUAUUAGAGUAGGUUGAAUCAGUUGGAGGAGUCCAGGCCAGUAUUAGUGUAGGUUGAAUCAGCUGGAGGAGUCCAGGCCAGUAUUAGUGUAGGUUGAAUCAGUUGGAGGAGUCCAGGCCAGUAUUAGUGUAGGUUGAAUCAGCUGAUGGAGUCCAGGCCAGUAUUAGUGUAGGUUGAAUCAGUUGGAGGAGUCCAGGCCAGUAUUAGUGUAGGUUGAAUCAGCUGAUGGAGUCCAGGC